rnacentral:rRNA from 1 species
UACGUAGGGUGCGAGCGUUGCCCGGAUUUAUUGGGCGUAAAGGGCGCGUAGGCGGUCACGCACGUCCGUUGUGAAAUCGCUCGGCUCAACUGGGCGGGGUCAGCGGAUACGGCGUGGCUGGAGCAAGCUAGGGGGCAAUGGAAUUCCCGGUGUAGUGGUGAAAUGCGCAGAUAUCAGGAGGAACACCGGUGGCGAAGGCGGGUCUCUGGGCCGAAACUGACACUGAGAGACGAAAGCUAGGGGAGCGAAUGGG